GCAAGUCGAACGAACCUUCGGAAUUAGUGGCGGACGGGUGAGUAACGCGUGAGAAUCUGCCUCUUGAAUGGGGACAACAGUUGGAAACGACUGCUAAUACCCAAUAAGCCGAAAGGUGAAAGAUUUAUCGUCAAGAGAGGAGCUCGCGUCCGAUUAGCUAGUUGGUGGGGUAAAAGCCUACCAAGGCGGCGAUCGGUAGCUGGUCUGAGAGGACGACC
rnacentral:rRNA from 1 species